rnacentral:rRNA from 1 species
UGUAGUGUGAACGAUGAUGCAUACAUGUCAACUAUGGGUGUUGGCUUGAACAAUUCACAUUGGUCUCAAACCAAUGACAUGCAUUUUGAAGACCAUGAGUUUGAGGUGGAUGAGGAUGGUGAGGGCAUUGUCGACGCACCGAAAGGAAGGGGAGGCAACUACACCAACGACGAAGACGUUGUGCUAUGAAAAACUUGGUUGGACGUGUCGAGGGAUCUAUCCGUUAGAGGUGAUCAAAGUAGAGAUGCUUAUUGGCUCCAGAUGAAAGAACACUUUGAUCUUCGCAACAUGAGUGGAAUUGACUGCUCCGCACGAUCACUAUGCUCCCGGUGGUCGACCAUCAAUAGGGAUUGUCAAUAA